rnacentral:tRNA from 1 species
CCGACCUUAGCUCAGUUGGUAAAGCGGAGGACUGUAGAUCCUUAGGUCGCUGGUUCGAAUCCGGCAGGUCGGA